AGAGUUUGAUCUCGGCUCAGGAUGAACGCUGGCGGCGUGCUUUAUGCAUGCAUGUCGUACGGGUUAUUUCGGUAACUAGUGGCGAACGGGUGAGUAACACGUAAGUAACUUGCCCCGAAGUGGGGGACAACUCCGGGGAACUGGAGCUAAUACCGCAUGUGGUGACAGGACCAAGGUUCCGUCACUAAAGCCUUAGGGCGCUUCGGGAGGGGCUUGCGUCCGAUUAGCUUGUUGGUGGGGUAACGGCUCACCAAGGCGACGUUCGGUAGCUGGUUUGAGAGGAUGACCAGCCACACUGGAACUGAGACACGGUCCAGACUCCUACGGGAGGCAGCAGCAAGGAAUAUUGCGCAAUGGGCGAAAGCCUGACGCAGCGACGCCGCGUGGGGGAUGAAGGCCCUCGGGUUGUAAACUCCUUUUCUCAGGGAAGAAUAAUGACGGUACCUGAGGAAUAAGUCUCGGCUAACUACGUGCCAGCAGCCGCGGUAAUACGUAGGAGGCGAGCGUUAUCCGGAUUUACUGGGCGUAAAGCGGGUGUAGGCGGCUCUUCAAGUCGGAUGUGAAAUCUCUCGGCUUAACUGGGAGGGGUCAUUCGAUACUGCUGGGCUCGAGUGCAGCAGAGGAAAGCGGAAUUCCCGGUGUAGUGGUGAAAUGCGUAGAUAUCGGGAGGAACACCAGUGGCGAAGGCGGCUUUCUGGGCUGUAACUGACGCUGAGACCCAUAAGCGUGGGGAGCAAACAGGAUUAGAUACCCUGGUAGUCCACGCCGUAAACUAUGGAUACUAGGUAUAGGGGGUAUCGACCCCUUCUGUGCCGAAGCUAACGCUUUAAGUAUCCCGCCUGGGGACUACGGCCGCAAGGCUAAAACUCAAAAGAAUUGACGGGGGCCCGCACAAGCAGCGGAGCGUGUGGUUUAAUUCGAUCCAACGCGAAAAACCUUACCAGGGCUUGACAUGUUGGAAGUAGAAACCCGAAAGGGGGACGACCUGUUAAGUCAGGAGCCAUCACAGGUGCUGCAUGGCUGUCGUCAGCUCGUGCCGUGAGGUGUCGGGUUAAGUCCCAUAACGAGCGCAACCCCUGUUGCUAGUUAAUUUCUCUAGCGAUACUGCCCUGCAAAACGGGGAGGAAGGCGGGGAUGACGUCAAGUCAGCAUGGCCCUUAUGCCCUGGGCUACACACACGCUACAAUGGGCGGUACAGCAGGUUGCAAUGGAGCGAUCCGGAGCUAAUCCUUAAAACCGUCCUCAGUUCGGAUUGCAGGCUGAAAUUCGCCUGCAUGAAGUCGGAGUUGCUAGUAACCGCAUAUCAGAACGGUGCGGUGAAUACGUUCUCGGGCCUUGUACACACCGCCCGUCACGUCAUGAAAGUCGGCAACACCUGAAGUCGAUGAGCUAACCUUUUAGGAGGCAGUCGCCUAAGGUGGGGUCGGUGAUUGGGACGAAGUCGUAACAAGGUA
rnacentral:rRNA from 1 species